GACGAAGGGGGCUAGCGUUGUUCGGAAUCACUGGGCGUAAAGGGUGCGUAGGCGGGUCUUUAAGUCAGGGGUGAAAUCCUGGAGCUCAACUCCAGAACUGCCUUUGAUACUGAAGAUCUUGAGUUCGGGAGAGGUGAGUGGAACUGCGAGUGUAGAGGUGAAAUUCGUAGAUAUUCGCAAGAACACCAGUGGCGAAGGCGGCUCACUGGCCCGAUACUGACGCUGAGGCACGAAAGCGUGGGGAGCAAACAGG
rnacentral:rRNA from 1 species